GCUUAGCAUCAUGAUUUACAUUUGAGUAGAGUAGGCGAACUGGUGAGUAACACGUGGGAAACCUGCCCAGAAGCGGGGGAUAACACCUGGAAACAGAUGCUAAUACCGCAUAACAACUUGGACCGCAUGGUCCGAGCUUGAAAGAUGGCUUCGGCUAUCACUUUUGGAUGGUCCCGCGGCGUAUUAGCUAGAUGGUGGGGUAACGGCUCACCAUGGCAAUGAUACGUAGCCGACCUGAGAGGGUAAUCGGCCACAUUGGGACUGAGACACGGCCCAAACUCCUACGGGAGGCAGCAGUAGGGAAUCUUCCACAAUGGACGAAAGUCUGAUGGAGCAACGCCGCGUGAGUGAAGAAGGGUUUCGGCUCGUAAAACUCUGUUGUUAAAGAAGAACAUAUCUGAGAGUAACUGUUCAGGUAUUGACGGUAUUUAACCAGAAAGCCACGGCUAACUACGUGCCAGCAGCCGCGGUAAUACGUAGGUGGCAAGCGUUGUCCGGAUUUAUUGGGCGUAAAGCGAGCGCAGGCGGUUUUUUAAGUCUGAUGUGAAAGCCUUCGGCUCAACCGAAGAAGUGCAUCGGAAACUGGGAAACUUGAGUGCAGAAGAGGACAGUGGAUCUCCAUGUGUAGCGGUGAAAUGCGUAG
rnacentral:rRNA from 2 species